GGAUGGAUCUUUGUGUUGCCAGGCAGGAAUGGGCUGCUUGGGGACCCAGUGAGCUCCGAGGGCCUUUCUGCUGCUUCCUGUACCCCUGUAUUUCGCUCAGCUCUCUGACUUGACUCAGCUCCAGACAUCUACCCCUGGAGAAAGAGCCCAAUGAGAAGUAAUCUCUGAAGCCCAGAUUUCCUAAGGAUGAAGCUUCAGGAGAGGCCUUAUCAAUCCUGACAACAAACUUUUCUCGUCAAUUUAGUUUCAUUUAAUGGAAGUUUUAAAUGUGUAAAGUUCAGAAGGCUAUUAAAAUUGGUUCCAGCUAUCUAAGAUACACACACAACCACACACGCGCACACACGGUAGAGAUAAAUAUGUUCGAA
rnacentral:lncRNA from 1 species